rnacentral:rRNA from 1 species
AUGGGGGGUCGCAAUCGGCGAUGGCCGACGAAGCGCCACCACGACGCCUCUUCGAACCCUCGCCCCCCGCCUCCGUAUUCCGGAUACAGUCACGUGGAUAAUCAAUGCCAAGUCCCAUUAUGGGAAAGGGAAUUUUGCAGUCUUGUUGGUGGCAUUUCGUGGCAGAGGUUCUGCGAGAACAAGCACUUUGCCUAUAUGUACAAGGAGAUAGAGCAGUGGGAUGACUCGGGAGCUUUUGAGAAUUUCCAGAAUGCAAAAUCAAGGUUCUGGUCUCAUUACCAUGGCCAACCUUCUGAUAUACCUUACCCAGACCCUGAUCUGUACAUUGAUGAGGUCGACCAUCGUGGCGAGGUCGACCCCGAGUUGGUAGCUGACCUGGACAAGGUGCGGGUACCCUUUGAGGCGGACAACGAGCCCGCCGUAGCUGCCAAUAACAGGUGUGCCCAGAACCAGACGGGGAACUGGGACAUCUAUCUAGAAAAGCCGACCCCUGAGGUGAACAAGUGGGAGGCGGACAACUCGGCAUCCAACACAGGUUGGGCAGCGAGUCAGGAGCCUCUGAGCAGCUGGAACAAAAUCAGCACCGGCUGGGGUGAUGCCCUGGCGCAGCCCGGUUGGGGCAGCUCAAGCAACAACCAUUGCUCAGGGAAUAACUGGAACAGUUCCCAUGGAGCAUCCAGCAACAAUAACACAUACUACCAGGAUCCAUGCAGCGCAUAUGGCAGGAAGAGGAACAGUGGCGGCGGGUACUCCCAGCAGAGGAACAGCAAGCAGAGAAACCAGGCUGAGAGCCACCACCAGAGGGGCAGAUGGCAGGAUCACCGGGACAGGGGGAGGCAUGGUGAGCGGUUUCCGUUUGACAAUAGGCCAAACGUGCAGCGAGCGGAGCGUGGGUUCUGA